rnacentral:rRNA from 1 species
CCUAUGAAUAAUUUAAAUGGCCGCAGUACUUUGACUGUGCAAAGGUAGCAUAAUCAUUUGCUUCUUAAUUAGGAGCUGGAAUGAAGGGGGCGACGAAAUCUAAGCUAUUUGUGAGAAAGUGUAAGUUGACAUUGUGGUUAAAAGGCCACAAUCUAUCAAAGGGACGAUAAGACCCUAUAAAACUUUACCCUUAAAAUUAGAUCUAUCUAGGCAGGAUUUAUGGUGAGGGUUAAACUGGGGCGGUGUUUAUAUUAACAAUUUUAUAGUAAAUAUUUUACAUAAAUCUAAAGAACUCGGCUAAGAAAUAUAGAAUAAGUUACUUUAGGGAUAACAGCAUAAUUCUCUCAGAGAGUACUAAUUGGCGGGAGAGCUUAUGACCUCGAUGUUGAAUUGGGGUUCCUUGUAUAAGCAGAAAUAUAUUAAGGUAGUCUGUUCGACUAUUAUACCCCC